rnacentral:rRNA from 1 species
CCCCCGGGGGGGGCAGCAGUGAGGAAUUUUCCGCAAAUGCGGGAAAACCUGAUGCAGGGCAACCGGGUGAAUGAUGAAGGCCUUCCGGUUGGAAAGCCUUGUCCAAUGGGGAGAAAUAACCCUCUUUUAAUACCCGCGAAUUUUGACGGUACCCCAGAAAGAAGCACCGGCUAACUCCGUGCCAGCAGCCGCGGUAAUACGGAGGGGGCAAGCGUUAUUCGGAAUUAUUGGGCGUAAAGGGCGCGUAGGCGGUUUUUUAAGUCAGAUGUGAAAGCCCCGGGCUCAACCCGGGAAGUGCAUUUGAAACUGCCAGCCUUGAGUACAGCAGAGGGAAGUGGAAUUCCCGGUGUAGCGGUGAAAUUCGUAGAUAUCGGGAGGAACACCAGUGGAGAAGGCAUCUUCCUGGGCCGUUUCUGACGCUGAGUCUAGCAAGCGUGGGGCGCGAACAGCCUUAGAUACCCUGGUAGUCCACGCCAAAAACCUGACAAGUAGGGGUAGGGUGUAGGGAC